rnacentral:lncRNA from 1 species
GAAACACUCCAGCUAGAGUAACUACAGGAGCUCCUUCUGAUGCAAGAGUUUACAUUAGCACUCUCACAAAAGCAGGAGGGAUCGAACUUGAGUCCUUGCCUUUGUGCAGCAGGCAACAAAACCACUGAGAGGAGACCACUGAGAUUCAGGGCUUCAUGAAGGCAGCACAACUGCUGGAUAGAGGCUCAAAGUGAGAGAAGGAGAUGUCAAAGUGGGAACCAGGACCCAAGAUUCUAUACCACCACCUACUGUCUCCUCUGAAACUUGCUUCUAUCUAAUGAGAAAAAAGACUGUACUUGCUAAGACCUCAGUCCUAACUGAUUUAUGGAAUGGAGUCCACAAACACUUAUUUGCUACACAGACCACCCCAUUCUGGUCAAUUGGCCUCUGAAGAGUAGAGAGAGCCCCAUGCAGAACCCUGUGUUGAAUUUCUACCAUUGUCCCUGAGAAGAGAAAGGUAAUAAUGCUGAGAAAACUAGACCCAGGAAAUGAAUCAUUGUUGGCAUGACCCAGAGACAACUGAAUUAAACCUCCCAAGACCCCAAAUGACUCUUCAGUGCAGUCAAAACAAGAUACCAGCGGAACUGGCAGCAGCUGGACUCAGAUUCUUGGCACAUCAUAGAUGCACCAUCAGCCCUUUGGCUACACUGUACAUCACUUGCAAGCAAG